AACGAACGCUGGCUGCAUGCCUAAUACAUGCAAGUCGAACGAGAUCUUCGGAUCUAGUGGCGCACGGGUGCGUAACGCGUGGGAAUCUGCCCUUGGGUUCGGAAUAACUUCUGGGAACGGAAGCUAAUACCGGAUGAUGACGUAAGUCCAAAGAUUUAUCGCCCAAGGAUGAGCCCGCGUAGGAUUAGCUAGUUGGUGGGGUAAAGGCUCACCAAGGCGACGAUCCUUAGCUGGUCUGAGAGGAUGAUCAGCCACACUGGGACUGAGACACGGCCCAGACUCCUACGGGAGGCAGCAGUAGGGAAUUUUGGACAAUGGGCGCAAGCCUGAUCCAGCAAUGCCGCGUGCAGGAAGAAGGCCUUCGGGUUGUAAACUGCUUUUACCAGGGAUGAUAAUGACAGUACCUGGAGAAUAAGCUCCGGCUAACUCCGUGCCAGCCGCCGCCGUAACAC
rnacentral:rRNA from 1 species